CAGAGUUCAUGCCCUAACGGGUAGAUCUCCCACCCUUGAAUAACAUACAUUGUUGCUUUGGCGAACGCUUCGGCGCGCGCCAGAGGACCUAAACUCUUGUUUAUAGUGUCGUCUGAGUACUAUAUAAUAGUUA
rnacentral:misc_RNA from 1 species